CCUUGGGCCUCAGGGCCAGCUGCUCCGGCUGUGCAUCCAGAGACUGCAGGAGACCCUGGCUUGAGACAGGACCCUGCACCCCCAGGCUCCCACCCCUCUGCAGGCCCGGCCCCACCUGGACAGUGACCAGGUGGCCACUGACCCAUUUUAUAACCGAGGACCAGGGCCUCGGGGUCUUGGGGGCUGGCAGCCUCGGUCACACAGGAGCUACAGGACAGAGCUCAACAAACCAGAUCUUUCAGGGGCACUGCAGAUGGGCCUGGCACGAACAGAGAGAGCAGCUGGCCAGACCCCCAAGGGGCGGCAAGCAAGGGUCCCAGUGGACCUAACUGUGCCCAGUAGGACAUGGGUCUGGCCCCGCCUGGCCCCGCUCACGCUAACCCACCUUGCUAAGCUUGGGCCGGUCGUAGGGAAGGUGCCGGUCCAGAGUGCACAGGACGAUCCUGUCUGAGAAGCCCUCCUGCCGCAGCGUCUCCGCGCACACCAGGCCAGCUGCGCCUGAGUGGAGGGGACAGUGGGUCAGGAGCCCCCUCUACCCCACCCCACCCUGCCCCUCACAACCCACCACCAACCUGCGCCCACGAUGAGCACGUUGGUGCUGCUGCUGUGGCCCACGCUUGGAGAGAUGCACGUGGCCAUCACCUUGGUCCUUCGCUGUAGCUGCAGAGCCUGGGGGUGGCCAGUGAGUGGGGGGCAGCUGGAAGCUGGGGUCAUUGCCAGGCUCCCUGUGCCCAUCCCAGCAGGCCAGGUCCUGCUGCUCCAGUGCCACCUCAUCCCCACCACACAGCCCUUCACUCUGCUCCCCUGCCACACCCGCUAGGCUCCCUCCCACCACAGGGCCUUUGCACAUGCUGUGUUCUGGGCCCAGAGGCCCUUCUCACCUCUCUCUUUUGCCUGAGCCCCAAGCCCCCCCCUCACCUGCUUGCUGGCCCGGACAUACACCUUCUCCUUCUCAAUCUUCACCUGCAAGGGCUGUGUUGCUCAGGGCUGGGCUUUGGGGUGCUCCAGCCCCUGCACCCCCAGGCUCCCACCCCAUUGCAUGCCUGGCCCCACCUGGAACUUAUGCAGACUGUCCAGGCCAGGGAAGUCCUCCAGGUCUCCGGUGCUGAUGUUGAAGCAGGCGCCAUGCCAGGGGCAGCGCACCCGUCCACGGGACAGCACUCCUGGGAGGGGGCAGUGCUGGGCUGGGCCACCAGCAAGAGCUCCUCUCCAAGGACCCAUGUAUCCAGCACCACUGGCCCUUCCCCAUGGCCCAGGACACCCCACUAAUAGAUGGGGGCCUGGGGCCCAGUGGAGUGGGGGCUGAGCGUCCCUUGUGAUGGGGUUGCCACCAAGCCCCUGUUGGGGAGGUCCCGCCCCGCCCCCGUGGGCACCGACAGCUCACCUUUCACCAGGGGCGCACCGUAGUGUGGACACUUGUGACCCAGGGCAUGGAACUCCCCGUUGUCUUUCACCAGCAACACCUUCCCCCAGCCCAGCUCCACUUCCCGCAUCCUGGGAGGGGAGGGGCUGCCCUCAGAUGUCAGAGGACGCAGAGCAGCCCCAGACCAGCAGGAGCCACAGAGGCGGUGGCCCCAGUGGAGCCGGUCAUGCGUCCCCUCCAGGCCUCCCAGCUGUCCUCCCACCUCGGCCUCCCACCCCCUCCCAGGCCCAGCACCCACUGGCCAUUCUCCAGAAUUAGUGAGGGGGCACAACAAAGCUCAUUCAACCCUGAAGCUGCCCUUUCUCCAGGAAUCCACGUGGAGGGGAGAACUCAGUGCUGGAGCCUUGCUGACCUUGAGGGUGUGGUCCCCAUGUAGGACUGCGUCAUCCCUAAGGACUCAGGGGCACGUUUGGGGCCUGAGAAACAGCGCGUCCAAAGCAGGACGCAGCCCAGUUCAUGGCCUGUGAAUCUGGGUAACGGGGGAAUCGAGGGUUCCAGAGAUUUGAAAUUUUUUCAAAAUUAAAAAAAAAAAAAGUGUAUGCACCAUAA